rnacentral:rRNA from 1 species
ACGAGGACAAUCCCUAGUACGGCGAGUGAAGCGGGAACAGCUCAAAUUUGAAAUCUGGCCCUCGGGUCCGAAUUGUAAUUUGCAGAGGAUGCUUUUGGUUAGGUACCUUCCGAGUUCCCUGGAACGGGACGCCUUAGAGGGUGAGAGCCCCGUACGGUUGGAUGCCGAGCCUCUGUAAAGCUCCUUCGACGAGUCGAGUAGUUUGGGAAUGCUGCUCUAAAUGGGAGGUAAAUUUCUUCUAAAGCUAAAUACCGGCCAGAGACCGAUAGCGCACAAGUAGAGUGAUCGAAAGAUGAAAAGCACUUUGAAAAGAGGGUUAAAUAGCACGUGAAAUUGUUGAAAGGGAAGCGUUUAUGACCAGACUUUCUCCAGGCGGAUCAUCCGGUGUUCUCACCGGUGCACUUCGCCUGGUUGAGGCCAGCAUCGGUUUCCGUAGAGGGAUAAAAGCUUUGGGGAUGUGGUUCCUCCGGGAAUGUUAUAACCUACUGCAUAAUACCUCUAUGGGGACCGAGGUUCGCGCUCUGCAAGGAUGCUGGCGUAAUGGUCAUCAACGACCCGUCUUGAACAACGGACCAAAA